rnacentral:rRNA from 1 species
CGUGAGACAGUUCGGUCCCUAUCUACCGUGGGCGCUGGAAAUUUGAGAGGAUCUGCUCCUAGUACGAGAGGACCAGAGUGGACGAACCUCUGGUGUACCGGUUGUGACGCCAGUCGCAUCGCCGGGUAGCUAUGUUCGGAAGGGAUAACCGCUGAAAGCAUCUAAGCGGGAAGCCUACCUCAAGAUAAGAUUUCCCUAGGACUUUAUGUCCUCUAAAGAGCCGUUCGAGACUAGGACGUUGAUAGGUUGGAUGUGGAAGCAUAGUGAUAUGUGAAGCUGACCAAUACUAAUUGCUCGUGAGGCUUGACUAUACAACACCCAAGCAGUUG